AUUGAACGCUGGCGGCAGGCCUAACAAAUGCAAGUCGAACGAGUGGCGGACGGGUGAGUAAUGUCUGGGAAACUGCCUGAUGGAGGGGGAUAACUACUGGGAACGGUAGCUAAUACCGCAUACAAUCAGAUGUGCCCAGAUGGGAUUAGCUUGUUGGUGGGGGAACGGCUCACCAAGGCGAAGAUCCCUAGCUGGUCGGAGAGGAUGACCAACCAGACUGGAACUGAGACACGGUCCAGACUCCGACGGGAGGCACCAGUGGGUAAGAUUGCACAAUGGGCGCAAGCCUGAUGCAGCCAUGCCGCGUGUAUGAAGAAGGCCGUCGGGUUGUAAAGUACUUUCAUCGGGGAGGCGUUACCCGCAGAAUAAGCACCGGCUAACUCCGUGCCAGCAGCCGCGGUAAUUC
rnacentral:rRNA from 1 species